GGAUGUGAGGGUGAUCUGGCUGCAACAUCUGUCACCCCAUUGAUUACCAAGGUUGAUUCAGCUGAUCUGGCUGGCUAGGUGGGUGUCCCCUUCCUCCCUCACCACUCCAUGUGUGUCCCUCCCAAAGCUGUGCGCUCGGACAAAAAGGACAACCAUUCCCGCUAGAGGAGGACCAUUUUUCUGUCAAGGGUAUAUGAGUAGCUGUGUUCCUUUGCUAGAACCUCCAAACAAGGAAGGAUCGCCUGAGCCCAGCAGGUUGACUCUGGGGUGGCCGUGAGUGCCACUGCAC
rnacentral:snRNA from 1 species